GACGGAGGGUGCAAGCGUUGUUCGGAAUUACUGGGCGUAAAGCGCGGGCAGGUGGCCUUUUAAGUCCUUUGUGAAAUCCCGGGCUCGAACUCCGGAUGUGCAUAGGAUACUGGAAGGCUCGAGACAGGUAGAGGCGAGCGGAAUUCCUGGUGUAGCGGUGGAAUGCGUAGAUAUCAGGAAGAACACCGGUGGCGAAGGCGGCUCGCUGGGCCUGUUCUGACACUCAUCCGCGAAAGCGUGGGGAGCAAACAGG
rnacentral:rRNA from 1 species